rnacentral:rRNA from 1 species
GACGAGGGAUCCUAGCGUUGUUCGGAAUUACUGGGCGUAAAGCGUGCGCAGGCGGUUUUGUAAGCCAGAUGUGAAAUCCCCGGGCUUAACCUGGGAAUGGCAUUUGGGACUGCAAGGCUUGAGUGCGGCAGAGGAGACUGGAAUUCCUGGUGUAGCAGUGAAAUGCGUAGAUAUCAGGAGGAACACCGAUGGCGAAGGCAGGUCUCUGGGCUGACACUGACGCUCAUGCACGAAAGCGUGGGGAGCAAACAGG